rnacentral:lncRNA from 1 species
AAAUAAUAUUAUUGCUACCUUAUUUCAUUUCAUUAACAUUACUAAGAUUACAAAUCCAUAAUGAUGAGGUUCUUGAAACUAGAAAAACAAAAGCAAAAAUAAAAUCAAAUUAUUGCAUGACAUUCAACAAGCAAAUUAUAACUCAUGAAAUAUUCAAGUACAACAUUUGUGGACUCUCUUCGUUUUGACACUAUUUAUCUGGAUAAAUUAUUGGAACACAUCUACAUACGAAAGCGACACACUUUGGUUUCGUACGAGCUUUGGGGCACGAAUCUUUUGGACAAUCAGCGUCUGUGUAACAUCUUGUUGCUGAAAAAAAAAAUAUUUAAAUAAAAUUGAAUAAAUAUUGUUAAUGAAGUAAAAUAGUAAAUUUGAAAGGGUAAAAAAAUAUCUUACCUUCAACGUUCUUUGCAACAAAAAUUAGGAAAAGAAAGAUAAUCAUAAAACAAACAAACUUAAUAAUUUCAGCCAUGUUUCUCUCAUUUGCAUGUAACAACAAAUGG